rnacentral:lncRNA from 1 species
AAAUGCAAUACAAUGUACAGGUUUUACUAGCGAAAUGAAAAUUUUCCUGUCCUGUCUGCUGUAAUCAUUUUAUAUCUGGAAAAUAGGAAAACCAGCCGACUUAAUCGAUAAUAACAAUCUCCAGAUUGGGUUCCUUCAAUAAAUAUGGGCUAUAAACACAAUGAAAUAAGUUCCCCAAAAUCUAAAAUGGAGUGGUAUCAAAGGAGAAUUAAAGGAAAAAAUAUUCAUAUUGAAAUUAUUUAUAAGGCACUGGACUGUCUUAAAUUCUACAAUAAUACUAGAAUCAGCUGAGAGAAGUGGUCUACAAAAAACCAGGAAGGAAACGGAAUAUAUGGCUACGAAAGGCAAAAGAAAGGUUUACAAAGCAAAUGUGACACAUUUUUUUGAAAUAUUUAGGAAUAUCAGUAAAUUGCAUUAAAAAAAUGUAUGAAAAGAUUUUGUUCAAUAAAAAUGUUUAUAUUUA